rnacentral:rRNA from 1 species
GAUCCUGGCUCAAGAUGAACGCUAGCGACAGGCUUAACACAUGCAAGUCGAGGGGCAGCGAGGGAGUGGCAACACUUCCGUCGGCGACCGGCGCACGGGUGAGUAACGCGUAUGCAACCUGCCCUUCACAGGGGGAUAACCGGGAGAAAUUCCGACUAAUACCGCAUACGUCCUCCGGGGGCAUCCCCGGGGGAUGAAAGAGUUAUCGGUGAAGGAUGGGCAUGCGUGAUAUUAGGUAGUUGGCGGGGCAACCGG